rnacentral:rRNA from 1 species
GGCAACCCUGAUCCAGCCAUGCCGCGUGUGUGAAGAAGGCUUUCGGGUUGUAAAGCACUUUCAGGGAGGAGGAAAGGUGUGUGGUUUAUACCCGCAUAGAGUGACGUUACUCGCAGAAGAAGCACCGGCUAACUCCGUGCCAGCAGCCGCGGUAAUAUAGAGGGUGCAAGCGUUAAUUGGAAUUAAUUGGUGUAAAGCGAGGGUAGGUGGGGAGGUCAGUCAGAUGUGAAAGCCCCGGGCUCAACUUGGGAAUUGCACCUGAUACUGCCUGACUAGAGUACGGUAGAGGGUAGUGGAAUUUCUUGUGUAGCGGUGAAAUGAGUAGAUAUAGGAAGGAACACCAGUGGCGAAGGCGACUACCUGGAUUGAUACUGACACUGAGGUGCGAAAGCGUGGGGAGCAAACAGGCUUGGUUACCCUGGUUGUCC